AGAAGAUCCACAGUACAGACAGUCCACCUUGAAGAUGAAUGUUUGUAGCUGGUUUGAGUUUACUACUUCCAUAAAGUUGCCAGAAUGGAAAUGUCUCCUGAAAAGAGAUUUGGAACUCUGAGCAGUUGUGGCCUUUUGAGGACUGUGUCUGCUGUCAUGAGAGAAUGAGUGAAGAGGACAAACACUGAAUCCCAAGAGGUUGCUGCCAGCUCCAUACAUCCGCUAUCUUUUCCAUUAUGAACUCCUCAACUUCUGUCCAGUUUAUUUUUCUUUGUAAAAGUAAUCAAGGAUAAGCCCAGGCUUUAUUUUUCAGUCUGACGG
rnacentral:lncRNA from 1 species